rnacentral:tRNA from 1 species
GGCCUGAUAGUUCAGUGGUAGAAUUCUUGCUUUGGGAAUCCCAAAAUUGUAAGAGGUCUCCGGUUCAAUCCCGGAUUAGGCCC